AGUUGUGGUGGUGAGGUUUCUCCAACAGAAACUGAAUUUGCCACAGUCCCACUCCGACCAAGACUCUAACAAAAGAUGUUCUAGAAACAUCGGGAACAGUUGGGCCUUGUUCGACCUCAAGAUUGCGACUUGUACUCUCAAGUCCUCCUACUGUCACUCCACACACCAGGCUGUCUUCAUCUGGAGUGUACCCUGCACUGCCUCCAACUAUGGCAUCACUGGUUACUGCACAGCCUCUGCAUCAGCCACAUGACACGUGUCGUGUCACAAACUGAACCUGACAAUCCAGAGGAACCAGCAGUGAGUGAUAUCAGCAUGAGCUUUGGGGAGAUGUCUCUGGAUCCAUUAGACACAAGUUAUG